ACCUCAGUUGGGUGCAGAGAAGCAGUUGCUUAGCUUUUGUGUGGUCCUCACGAUCAGACCCCAAGGUGGUAUGGUUUCAAGGCCCUGCCAUUUACAAGGGCUAAUUAAGAUCCCACCUACAACCCUCCACUUAAUUCAUACAUGAAGCAGUCAGCAAAAGAUUUUGAUUUCUCUUUUGGCUGGAAGACCUUUUGGCUUCUGUAAAGCAAAGGAGGAUUAGGAAGGGAAAGCACAUAAAGCAGUUUCACAUCCAUCCCUGGUCAGCAAACACUUGGGAAGAAGGAUCAAUUCACACUGGGAAUUAACUGAAGAGUAGCAGGGCUACAUCAGGCUGAAUAAAUAUAAAUCCGAACAUGGGCAAGGUUUAGCUUGUUGCAAGUCACCCUGAUAGGAAGACUGAAUGAAGAAGGGAGAAAAAGAAGGAAAGAAACC